GACGAACGCUGGCGGCGCGCCUAACACAUGCAAGUCGAACGAGCGAGAGAGAGCUUGCUUUCUCGAGCGAGUGGCGAACGGGUGAGUAACGCGUGAGGAACCUGCCUCAAAGAGGGGGACAACAGUUGGAAACGACUGCUAAUACCGCAUAAGCCCACGGUGCCGCCUGGCACAGAGGGAAAAGGAGCAAUCCGCUUUGAGAUGGCCUCGCGUCCGAUUAGCUAGUUGGUGAGGUAAUGGCCCACCAAGGCGACGAUCGGUAGCCGGACUGAGAGGUUGAACGGCCACAGUGGGACUGAGACACGGCCCAGACUCCUACGGGAGGCAGCAGUGGGGAAUAUUGCACAAUGGGGGAAACCCUGAUGCAGCGACGCCGCGUGGAGGAAGAAGGUCUUCGGAUUGUAAACUCCUGUUGUUGGGGAAGAUAAUGACGGUACCCAACAAGGAAGUGACGGCUAACUACGUG
rnacentral:rRNA from 1 species